rnacentral:rRNA from 4 species
CCAGUGAUAAACUGGAGGAAGGUGGGGAUGACGUCAAGUCAUCAUGGCCCUUACGACCAGGGCUACACACGUGCUACAAUGGCGCAUACAAAGAGAAGCGACCUCGCGAGAGCAAGCGGACCUCAUAAAGUGCGUCGUAGUCCGGAUUGGAGUCUGCAACUCGACUCCAUGAAGUCGGAAUCGCUAGUAAUCGUGGAUCAGAAUGCCACGGUGAAUACGUUCCCGGGCCUUGUACACACCGCCCGUCACACCAUGGGAGUGGGUUGCAAAAGAAGUAGGUAGCUUAACCUUCGGGAGGGCGCUUACCACUUUGUGAUUCAUGACUGGGGUGAAGUCGUAACAAGGUAACCGUAGGGGAACCUGCGGUUGGAUCACCUCCUUACCUUAAAGAAGC